GAGAGCUCUCUCACUCUUUUCCUGCCACUUGAGGACACAACAGGAAGGUAGCCGUCUGCAACCUGGAAGAAGGUCCUCACCCAAACCCAACCAUGCUGGCACCCUGAUCUCAGGCUUUAAGCCUCCAGAACUGAGAGAAAUAAAUUUCGGUGGAUUAUAAGCCACUCAGUCUGUGGAUACUUGGAUGACGGAGUAUGUUCUUACGCCUGAGGGAAGGAGAUGAUUUCUGCUCCACAAACAAGAAGAACCAAAGGCUAUUUCACGGGCAGGAACUAAAGGACAUCUUGUGAAAGGGAUGAGCUGCCCCAGCAGAAGUAGCAGGGCCCUCUGAACACCAAGGUCUGAACUGGCUGUCCCCGGAUCCGGAGAGAGGAAAGAUGGGCAAGUUUGUUCUGCCAGAGCUCUCCUCCCAUGGUGCAGUUGGUGGCCAAAGAAACAGUCACUUCAGAAGAAUGUUGCCAUAUACAUACAAUGGAAUGUUAUUCAGCUUAAAAAAGAAGGAGAUUCUGGAACAUGCUACAACAUGGAUGAAGCUGGAGGACAUCACGCUAAGUGAAAUAAGCCAGAUACAAAGGACAAGUACUCUAUGACUCACUUAUCUGAGGCACUUAGAGUAGUGAUAUUCCUAGAGACAGAAAGUAGAAAGGUGGUUGUCAGGGACCAGAGGAGGAGGGAACGGGAGGUUACUGCUUAAUGGGUACAGAUUUUCCGUUUAGGAAGAUGGAAAAGCUCUGGAGAUGAACGGUGAUGGUUGCACAACAAUGUGAAUGCACUUAAUGCCACUGAACAACUGUGUACUUAAAAAUGAUAAGAUGGUAAAUUUUAUGUUAUGUAUAUUUUACCACAAUAAAAAACUUUUGCGUUGAAAUUGAAAUGAUCAUGUGUAUGUUGAAGUUAGAAGGGCCCUUACAGAUUGUUGGAAACAAUAGUGUCAAUUCACAGAUGAGUCAGCUAGGGUCGGGGAGGUGAAAUAACUUUGUCAAAAGCUCACGGCUAGUGAGAGGCCCAGCCAGGACUAAAACGUAAGGUCUUUCAGUGCCCUGCCUGGGGGGACUGCUCUUCCCACAGCAGCUUUAGCAACGCAGGACCUCACGGGAGACACACACGUCACAGGGAGACUUAGAGUCCUUCAUGGAUG
rnacentral:lncRNA from 1 species